rnacentral:rRNA from 1 species
GACGAACGCUGGCGGCGUGCCUAAUACAUGCAAGUCGAACGCUUCUUUCCUCCCGAGUGCUUGCACUCAAUUGGAAAGAGGAGUGGCGGACGGGUGAGUAACACGUGGGUAACCUACCCAUCAGAGGGGGAUAACACUUGGAAACAGGUGCUAAUACCGCAUAACAGUUUAUGCCGCAUGGCAUAAGAGUGAAAGGCGCUUUCGGGUGUCGCUGAUGGAUGGACCCGCGAUGCAUUAGCUAGUUGGUGAGGUAACGGCUCACCAAGGCCACGAUGCAUAGCCGACCUGAGAGGGUGAUCGGCCACACUGGGACUGAGACACGGCCCAGACUCCUACGGGAGGCAGCAGUAGGGAAUCUUCGGCAAAGGACGAAAGUCUGACCGAGCAACGCCGCGUGAGUGAAGAAGGUUUUCGGAUCGUAAAACUCUGUUGCUAGAGAAGAACAAGGACGUUAGUAACUGAACGUCCCCUGACGGUAUCUAACCAGAAAGCCACGGCUAACUACGUG